rnacentral:rRNA from 1 species
CCUACGAGAGGCAGCAGUAGGGAAUAUUGCUCAAUGGGGGAAACCCUGAAGCAGCAACGCCGCGUGGAGGAUGAAGGUUUUCGGAUUGUAAACUCCUUUUGUUAGAGAAGAUAAUGACGGUAUCUAACGAAUAAGCACCGGCUAACUCCGUGCCAGCAGCCGCGGUAAUACGGAGGGUGCAAGCGUUAGUAUGAAAGACUGGGUGUAAAGAGGGAGUAGGCGGGAUAGCAAGUCAGAUGUGAAAUCCUAUGGAUUAACCAUAGAACUGCAUUUGAAACUGUUAUUCGAGAGAAUGGGAGAGGUAGGUGGAAUUCGUGGUGUAGGGGUAAAAUCCGUAGAGAUCAAGAGGAAUACUCAUUGCGAAGGCGACCUGCUAGAACAUAACUGACGCUGAUGCGCGAAAGCGUGGGGAGCAAACAGGAUUAGAUACCCGGGUAGUC